GAUGAACGCUGGCGGCGUGCCUAAUACAUGCAAGUCGAGCGAACGGACGAGAAGCUUGCUUCUCUGAUGUUAGCGGCGGACGGGUGAGUAACACGUGGAUAACCUACCUAUAAGACUGGGAUAACUUCGGGAAACCGUAGCUAAUACCGGAUAAUAUUUUGAACCGCAUGGUUCAAAAGUGAAAGACGGUCUUGCUGUCACUUAUAGAUGGAUCCGCGCUGCAUUAGCUAGUUGGUAAGGUAACGGCUUACCAAGGCAACGAUGCAUAGCCGACCUGAGAGGGUGAUCGGCCACACUGGAACUGAGCCCCGGUCCAGACUCCUACGGGAGGCAGCAGUAGGGAAUCUUCCGCAAUGGGCGAAGGCCUGACGGAGCAACGCCGCGUGAGUGAUGAAGGUCUUCGGAUCGUAAAACUCUGUUAUUAGGGAAGAACAUAUGUGUAAGUAACUGUGCACAUCUUGACGGUACCUAAUCAGAAAGCCACGGCUAACUACGU
rnacentral:rRNA from 1 species